UUAGAUUCAAAAAAGUAUUCGACGAAAACACAACGCAGAGUUCAAUUUUCAAAAAUGUGGCCGUUCCAAUACUAGACAAGUUUUUAUCUGGUAUGAACGGCACGAUAUUUACAUACGGACAGACUGGAAGUGGUAAAACUCAUACUAUGUAUGGCACAACAUUGGACAGAGGUAUUAUCCCUCGUUCUUUCGAAUACAUCUUCGAAAAUUCAAAC